rnacentral:lncRNA from 1 species
AAUGCAUCGAAAAAACGUCUCGUCGAUUCAACGUGUAUAUAAGACCCGUGUGCCUUUUCCAGAACACUGACAUCUUUCUCUUCAGACUGAUUGCUGACUUUCUGAAUCUGAACCAUGGCAUCCAUCUUGUCUGUUGCCCUGAUAUGCGCAUGCGUGCUGGUGUGUUCCGGUGCUGUGUACGACCAGUAUCCGUACCACGGUCAGAAACCGGGUUUGUAUCCCGGAGGGAGCUACCCUGGAUACCCCCACCAAGAUAAGUAUGGAGGCUAUUACGGAAGGUACCGACGAUCUGUACCAUCCUAUGGUGAUGGUAGCUACCCAAGACACUACCCGUACUACCCGACAGGAUACCCGUACUACCCAAAAUACCCCACACAGAAACACUAUUAACCAUAAGCGAUGGCGGGAUACCACAGGCGGCCCAGAAUCCGGCAUCUGAAUAAUGCGAUGUGCAUGCAUUACAAGAAAUAAAUGUUGUAUAUUUA